rnacentral:piRNA from 1 species
CACAGGCAGGAGAGGGGUAUUCCAA